UGGAGGAAGGGUGAAGUCUGUGCUCUCUUGAGCACAGGCACAAUAUUCAAGUAUCAACCAUGUGUUUUGUUAUCUAGAAGUCUAUUUUGCCUGCCUGACUUGACUGCCAUUUUCUGCUUGAAUCAAGUCAGCAGUGUUAUAGGAGGAGGAUAGAGAACCAGAACAGAUGAAGGUACCACACAACUUUUCUCCCAGCGAAGCAGCAACUGCGGCAGCUGAGACCCCUUCUGAAUCAAGGUGCCAGUAUCAGAUACAAAUGCUCUCUCAUCUUCCAGACAAUCAAGGACUUUCAUCUUUCAAUAGCGACCUAAAAAAGUAAGUUUGAAAAAGUAAUGCUUCUUUGGCAAUACUUGUAAUGUAUUGUGUUAUCAAGGUUGAAAUUGGUGCUUUAUAGUUCUGAAUUCGGUGUUCAGGCUGCUAAGGCCAGAUGGUUUGAGCCAUAAAUCCUGGCUCUAUUAC